AAAUUUACCAGAGAUCUGAAUCUUAAAAUUUCAGCCUCCUUCUUGGCUUGAACAAUCUGAUGGAAUUCUGGAAUAACUUGCUUGGCCUGACUCACUCCCAAUGUUGGGAAGAAAAGAAAGCAGGAGAGAAGGGGGGAUCAGGAGGCCUCUCACUCCCAUUUAGCGUUUAGAAAUGGCUCCAAGUGGUUUGUUUUGCCAUCAACACAAAUGUCUAAAAUGAAAAUAAGUUUUUUUUGGUCUUCCCACAGGUACAUUCUACAAAAGAAGAGGAGGACAAAGAAUGACGAAAAUGAAGGAGAAUUAUGCAUUUUCAUAAGCACCUAUGUUGGACCAGAUGUUCAUCCAGCUUUUGGGGCUAAACGGAGAAAUUUGGACACAGAAUACACACAGGGAGAUAAAGUCAAGAUUAGAGUGAUGAUUCUACAAGCCAAAGAAUGCCAAAGAUUGUCAGCAAAAUAUCGGAAGUUGGAAAGAGACCUGGAACAGAUUCCCUCUCAGAGCCCUCAGAAGGAAUCAAUUCUGCCAACACCAUGAUCUCAGACUUCUAGCCUCCAGAACUGUGAGACAAUAAAUUUCUGAUAUUCAAGCCACCUAGUUUGUGGUGCUUUGUUACAACAGCUCCAGGAACCUGAAACACGGGACACACUGUGUUGUCUUUCCAGCUCACUGUUGUUCUGGGAAACCUCCCUCCCUCCCCAUUUACUGCGAGAGCAGCCAUGUUGAACAACGUGACCCCAGUUCUGACUGGAGUUCACCAGGAACUUGCAUUUCAGACCAGGGAGCAAGUCUCCAGUGACGGAAGCUGAAAAAUACAAAACUUGGUAACUGCCAACAACUGUGUUUUUCACAACAAAGAGAGAGCCAGUCUGCCACAAGACAAAGCUGGCACCCAGAGAAGCAGAGACAAGGCUGGGAGGGAGCGCUGGCGGCUUUCCAGCGCUGGCUCCAUUGGUGCCGCAGGCUCCAGCUCUGUGGGGACCUGGCUGUGACCCGAAUUCCAGAAGACUGCCGUGACUGUCCGAUAUAACAGGAAUUCUGAGCCAAACUGGACAGUGUUUAGCCACUCCUGUGGAAGGACCCACCUGCACUGCUCUGGCCUGACACUGGUGAGGAGCAAGGUGGUACUGUAUCCUUGGAUGAAGUCUCAUGACAAGAAGCAGAGAGGUGAUGGAAUUUUCCAGUGGACUCCAAGUUCCAUGGAGAGAGGCAUGGAAACCUGUACUCUUCUGGGUGCCUGGAAAGAGUGCACACCAGAACCUCCACUAACCUCUGCUGAAGGCAGAGGCAUCCCUUCUGGAGGAAUGUAGUCCACAGGGAGCAUGGCUUGGCUAAUGGCUGGACUCACUUCUAAUGAAUAGAAUUCAGCAAAAGUGAUGUUAUCACUUCCGAGAUUAUGCUACAGAAAGACUGCGACUUCUGCCUCACUCAUCCUGCCAUACUGUGAACUGCCCUAUGAAGAGAGCUACGUGGCAAGAAAUUGAUGGCUCUGUCCAAGGACAGCAAGAACUCAACACCUGCCAACUGCCAUGUGGGUGAGCUUAGGAGAUCUCCCCUCAGCUGAGCCUUAAGAUGAUUUCAACACUAACUAACACCUUAUAGCAGUUUCAUGAGAAAUCUUAAGGGCAAGACAGACAGAAAGGCUACACUCAAAUUCCUGACCCAUAGAAGCUACCAGAUAUUGUUGGUUGUUUUAAGCCAUUAAGUUAGGUUGUUUGUUAUACAGCAAUAGAUAACUAACACACACACGUAACACCCCCAGGAAUACAAGAUAGGGAGCUUUUCACCAAACACCAUGGCCUGAGAUUGGGUGAGACAUAGCUCAAAGGAAUUCUGGUGCUCAAAAACACUACUCAUUAUAACAUCCAAUUUAGGCUGUUUUCACUGAACAUAUAAGUUUCAAAAUAUAAAAAGAAAGCACUCUUCUAACCCCCCUAGCCAUAGGGGGAAAAUUGGCAGACUUUCAUAUGAGUAUCAAUAAUCAAUUUGUAAUGACCUAGUUUACCAGAGGCUUUGUAAAACCACAUGUCCUGGGGGCAGUAAGGGGAGCUCAGUGUUGACAGUUGUUUUUUCCUUUAUUCACCCUAGAGAUGGAAACUGCUGGAGACCAAGUUUAAGUGGAACUUUUCUAUUGGUUUAGAUCUCUCUGCUCUGAAUUUUUAGUUUCCAUUACUACAUAAGCCCUAAAGUCUCCUUGUUGACAAAGACAGUUUAUGUUCUCUUCCCAUUAAACAGGAAAAUUAAACAGCCUAAGAAGCUGAAAUAUCGAUGAAUCUUUUGCCACAGUAUCAUAAAUUUGUAGUUCCAUUUUGAAAUUUUAACAUUGAGAUCUUGAUUAGAAUUUUUCUUCCAAAGUGUCCUGGAAGCACUAAAAUAAGGUACUUGUAAGACUCUGAAUUGCCUCAGGUGCUCCAGAACACACAAUAUACAGGACAGAAUUCCUGUUUUCUUACUUCCAUGUCCUGAUUUACCGUGUCUGGCUCAUGGUAAAUACAUUUGGAAAAAUAAAACCCCUCUCCAGAAUUUGAUCACAAUAAGAAUGAAAGUUAAAUAAAGUACUAAGAAGACAGUGACCUGCUAAUGAUAACCCACUGGAGCCCAAGUCUCUUUGAAUUGUACAUGAUGAAAAGUCACACAGUGGUGAGAGCUCAGGAAGUGACUUGAAUACUGGGAGAACUCAACGUCAAGAGUACCAUUACUUAGGACCAUUUGAAGUGCAUUUUUUAUGUAGCUUCUACAGAAUGUGGUAUUUGAUAGAAUAGGGCAUGAUCAAUUUAUUUUUAGAUAGUUUGAUCUAGUAAAAUGCUGAGCAUGAUGCUGAUGGACUUAGUUUAUGUGUGUUUUCAGAUUAAUAGCUGCUCAAUGAGCUAUUGGAUAUCUGUGAUCCUUCCAUUAACAUUGAGAUCCUCACUAACCACGUUUCUUUGUAAUGAACUGAGCACACUUCUAAAGAUCUGUCUAUUCAUAGUUAAGGUAAAAAACUUCCUGUUCUGUUCCUAUGACCUAACUUUAGUCAAGUCGUGGAGAAGAAGAAAGCUGUAUCAAAUGAGAUCUUUGAAGAGCCAAGGUUUCCAUCCAAGGCCAAAUUAAGAAAGAGUCUUACUUGUCUGUCUUUGCAUAUUUCUCAAAAAAAAAAAAAAGCUUCAAAAUAUUUUUUUUAAGUUUUAUUUUCUUAAUUUGCAUUGAUCUGUAUUUCCCAAGACCAUCAGAAUUUCACUAAUGGCAACAGGAUAGUAUUUCUGUAACCCUGACCCACUCACAUUUUUGAGGCAUCUAGCUCCCUUAAAAUUCUCCCAAGUAGCCGAGGAGUUCCUGGAUGUAUUAAGUGAGUGUGGGAGUGGAGAUGACUUGACUAUUUGAAUACUUUGAACACUUUGAAUAGAAAGUACCGUUCCCUUCUGCAAGUUCCUGUAGCUGCAGCAUGUAACCUGCUGGUUCCUUCUCUUCUGUUUUGGAGACUGCUGCCUCUCAGAGUCAGAUCUAGGACAGACCCCACCUGCCUUAUUCCAACAUCUCCCGUGUCACAUGCUCCAGCAGUCCCCUCACUGAAGUGCAGCAGUGUCUUCUGCUUUCAAGCUCCUAUAGAUACAAGUGAAAAGGCUACUGGCUUUUUUAGUUUUACUACUUCAUCUCCCUAGGAUUCUGGCCCAGGAAAAAGAGCAAAUCCCAAAAGUUGUAAUUGAGCUCUCUCCUGAUGCUGGCCUCCCAUCCUUGAGCCAAGUUUGUGUAGAGGACCCUCUCUACCCUAAAAGGUGAGUCUUGCCACCCUAACGGCCAUCCAGACUUGUCUGAAAACCUAAGAUAUAUAGUUUAGGCCCUCAAGUUUAGACAUCCCAAGUUCUCACACCAGGAGGUAAACACUGUAGAUGUGAGUUAAGUAAGACUGAGCCCACAUGUGAAACAUACCACAAUGUGUUUGGGGGUUCCAAAAUAAUUUUCUUGUAUUUGUCUUAAUGAAAGUAAAUUCAAGAAACAAUUAGUAUUGACUAUGGCAUGUAAGCAAAUGAAUUAAAGAAUUUAAUACUUA